rnacentral:rRNA from 1 species
CCUUGCCAGCCCGCUCAGAAACUUAAAGGAAUUGACGGGGGCCCGCACAAGCGGUGGAGCAUGUGGUUUAAUUCGAUGAUACGCGAGGAACCUUACCUGGGCUCAAAUGUAUGUUGACGUAUUCUGAAAGGGAUACUUCUUCGGACAAUAUACAAGGUGCUGCAUGGUUGUCGUCAGCUCGUGCCGUGAGGUGUCGGGUUAAGUCCCAUAACGAGCGCAACCCCUAUCAUUAGUUGCCAUCAGGUCAAGCUGGGGACUCUAAUGAAACUGCCUACGCAAGUAGUGAGGAAGGUGGGGAUGACGUCAAAUCAGCACGGCCCUUACGUCCAGGGCUACACACGUGCUACAAUGGCCGGUACAAAGGGCAGCUACCUGGUGACAGGAUGCUAAUCUCAAAAGCCGGUCUCAGUUCGGAUCGGAGUCUGCAACCCGACUCCGUGAAGUUGGAUUCGCUAGUAAUCGCGCAUCAGCCAUGGCGCGGUGAAUACGUUCCCGGGCCUU